GAUGAACGCUGGCGGCGUGCUUAAUACAUGCAAGUCGAACGAAGCACCUUGGACAGAAUCCUUCGGGAGGAAGACCAUUGUGACUGAGUGGCGGACGGGUGAGUAACGCGUGGGUAACCUGCCUUGUACAGGGGGAUAACAGUUGGAAACGACUGCUAAUACCGCAUAAGCGCACAGUACCGCAUGGUACGGUGUGAAAAACUCCGGUGGUACAAGAUGGACCCGCGUCUGAUUAGCUAGUUGGUGAGGUAACGGCCCACCAAGGCGACGAUCAGUAGCCGACUUGAGAGAGCGAUCGGCCACAUUGGGACUGAGACACGGCCCAAACUCCUACGGGAGGCAGCAGUAGGGAAUAUUGCACAAUGGGGGAAACCCUGAUGCAGCGACGCCGCGUGAAGGAAGAAGUAUUUCGGUAUGUAAACUUCUAUCAGCAAGGAAGAAAAUGACGGUACU
rnacentral:rRNA from 1 species